rnacentral:lncRNA from 1 species
ACCUCUUUUGAACCUUGAUUGUCAAGAACAGAGGGAGAAGCCCGGACUGCGGCCCACGAACUCAGACAUGCCUGAAAGAGAUAGAAGCUUGACUGCUGGUUUCAUGGAGGAGUUUGCUGCAGGUGUUCAGUUCACAUUUUUCAGCCUGCCAGAAAGCAAGACCAUUGUCAAGCGACUAUAACAUUCUUGUCUUUGGCUACGUCUCUUCUAUCAUCAUUCCCCUUGUAAGUGACUCAGAUUUUAUAUGGAUGUGUAUAUGCUUGAACUAUGCCCUAAGUACCAUAUGUCAUCCUACUUCUUAAAAACCUGACAACAUAUCUCCUUCCUAUUCUUUGUUCUAAUAGCAUACAGCAUAAAGACCUUCCCUCUUU